CUACGGGAUGCACCAGCAGGGAAUAUUGCACAAUGGACGGAAGUCUGAUGCAGCGACGCCGCGUGGAUGAUGAAGGCCCUCGGGUUGUAAAAUCCUUUUCAGGGGGACGAGGAAGGACGGUACCCUUGGAAUAAGCGUCGGCUAACUACGUGCCAGCAGCCGCGGUAAGACGUAGGACGCAAGCGUUAUCCGGAUUUACUGGGCGUAAAGCGUCUGUAGGCGGAAUGGUAAGUUGGACGAGAAAGCUCCGGGCUCAACCCGGAGAGGUCGUUCAAUACUGCCAAACUAGAGGGCAUCAGAGGAGCGUGGAAUUUCCGGUGUAGCGGUAAAAUGCGCAGAUAUCGGAAGGAACACCAAUGGCGAAGGCAGCGCUCUGGGAUGAACCUGACGCUAAGAGACGAAAGCUAGGGGAGCGAACAGGAUUAGAUACCCUCGUAGUC
rnacentral:rRNA from 1 species